rnacentral:lncRNA from 1 species
UCUCCCCCAACCCUCAAAUUGCACUUUCUAGAACAACAGCGACGUCAGUUUAAGAGUUAGAGAACAGGCGUCUUCCGGGGGCCACCUUGAGCUGUGUUGCUCUGCAAGGGCCUGACGUGGACGAUUCACUCCACCGCCGUCCUCCCGCCAGUUCUGGGUCCGGUGCUGACAGGGAUGCUCCCACAUCGGCUGUAUGUCGUAGCUAUAUAGCCGAUCUUUCGAUUGUGAUAUAACUGUCGAUACAGCACCUCUCAGGAGGCGUCAUCUCCAUCUCAGGAAGCACCGUCUCUAAACCUCCCCCCAGCAGUCUCCACUGGGAAACACAGUUCCACCCUCACCCCCGGAACUGGGACCUCUUGCGUUCCCCAUCCAUCCCCCUUCUGAUCGAUCUGCCAAUGAAAUCCAGCCGGAAGGUGGGGGGGGGCGGGGGCUGUUCCUUACCAGCGAGCCCAGGCGUCCAGGUCGUGGUAGACCUUGCCCGGGGGCAGCUGGGGGUGGCGGGCGCAGAUGGCGCACAGCCUCUCCCGCCAGUCUGUGUACAGGUGCACCCUGCCGCGCCGCCGCCAGGCGAAGAAGCUCCGGUAGCGGCCCUCGUCGGCCGCCAGCCCGCGCAGGAAGGCGGCCAGCUCCCCCGUGGAGUUGAAGUCGUCGACGUGGAUGAAGGAGCCCGGGGGCGCCUGGGCCUCGUAGUCGGCCCGGGGGGGGCCCAGGACCACCGGCACCGAGCCCGCCUGGAAGGAGUUGCGCCACAGCUUCUCGGUGAUGUAGUCGCGGUAGACGGAGUUCUCGAAGGCCAGGUAGAAACGGUACCGCGAGAUGGUGGGCAGCAGCCCCUCGGGGCUCAGCGGCCGCCGCCCGUAGCGCCCAUACACGUCCACCGCCAUCAGCCGGCUCAGCUGCUUGUACACGCGGGUCCGCUCGUGCCUCUCCCUGUAGUUGCUCACCACCCACGUGGCCAGGACGCGGGGGUGCUUGCUGGG